UUCUCAUCCCAGCAAACACUAGGUUUUCUGAUUUCUUGUUUUUUCUUGCUGGCUAUGGUGCCAUUUCAUUGUGCAUUCUGUCAUAUGUGAAUCGUGCCCUGGUCAAGCAGAGAGACUUCUGGAUUCUGCAAGAGAAAUGGAAGACUCAAUUGCUGUGAACUUUAGUUCCUGGCGACUCGAAGUAAGUAGAGUGGAGCUGCUGCUUCAAGUAGGAACGUUUUGUUGCAGUAGGAGCAUUAGUUGCAGGAAUAUUUGGCAUGAAUCUUAAAUCAUACCUCGAGACAAACGCGUGGGCAUUUUGAGCGACGACUGGUGGAAUAGUAGUUGGAGCACGAGCUGGAUGUUUCUUCAUGUACUCCUACCUAAAGGCUAGGGAGAUAUUGUGAACCCUGUAACAUCUAUAUCUUAGAACUAUUCUUUGAACUGUAAAUAUUGCAAUUUUUAUGUCAUUUGCACAUCAUUGAUGGAUAUGCAUAUUGAUUCUUGAGAUUAUUGUGGGUGUUCGAUGCUUCGAAUUCUUGCAUGGUUUGUCAGUCGUGAUCCUGAAGGCUGGACCAAGCAUUUCCACAAGUUGGUCGAAGAUGGGUCGAACUGGAGCAUGGGUCAAAGGCAGCUCUUCUGUUUGGGACGUGCAAUUUUGAGAAGAUGCCGCAUUUUAGUUCUCGAUGAGGCCACUGCUUCUAUAGACAAUGCAACUGAUGCUAUACUCAGAAA